GACGAACGCUGGCGGCGUGCUUAACACAUGCAAGUCGAACGGAAAGGCCCUGCUUUUGUGGGGUGCUCGAGUGGCGAACGCGUGAGUAACACGUGAGUAACCUGCCCUUGACUUUGGGAUAACUUCAGGAAACUGGGGCUAAUACCGGAUAGGAGCUCCUGCUGCAUGGUGGGGGUUGGAAAGUUUCGGCGGUUGGGGAUGGACUCGCGGCUUAUCAGCUUGUUGGUGGGGUAGUGGCUUACCAAGGCUUUGACGGGUAGCCGGCCUGAGAGGGUGACCGGCCACGUUGGGACUGAGAUACGGCCCAGACUCCUACGGGAGGCAGCAGUGGGGAAUAUUGCACAAUGGGCGGAAGCCUGAUGCAACAACGCCGCGUGCGGGAUGACGGCCUUCGGGUUGUAAACCGCUUUCGCCUGUGACGAAGCGUGAGUGACGGUAAUGGGUAAAGAAGCACCGGCUAACUACGUG
rnacentral:rRNA from 1 species